rfam:Felis catus isolate Cinnamon breed Abyssinian chromosome D4, whole genome shotgun sequence.
GCCUGGGUGGCUCAGUCAGUUAAGUGUCUGACUUUGGCUCAGGUUAUGAUCCCACAGUUUGUGAGUUCAAGUCCCACAUCAGGCU